UUGGAGGGCAAGUCUGGUGCCAGCAGCCGCGGUAAUUCCAGCUCCAAUAGCGUAUAUUAAAGUUGUUGCAGUUAAAAAGCUCGUAGUUGAAUUUCGGGAUUGACACAUCGGUCGUGCCUUAAGGGGUAUGAACUGGUGUAGUCAAUUUCUCACCUUCUGGAGAGCCGCGAUGCCCUUAAUUGGGUGUCACGGGGAACCAGGACCUUUACUUUGAAAAAAUUAGAGUGUUUAAAGCAGGCAUUUUGCUUGGAUACAUUAGCAUGGAAUAAUAAAAUAGGACGGCAUGAUUCUAUUUUGUUGGUUUCUAAGAUCACCGUAAUGAUUAAUAGGGAUAGUUGGGGGCAUUAGUAUUCAAUUGUCAGAGGUGAAAUUCUUGGAUUUAUUGAAGACUAACUACUGCGAAAGCAUUUGCCAAGGAUGUUUUCAUUAAUCAAGAACGAAAGUUAGGGGAUCGAAGACGAUCAGAUACCGUCGUAGUCUUAACCAUAAACUAUGCCGACUAGGAAUCAGACGAUGUUUAUUUUUUAAUGACUCGUUUGGCACCUUACGGGAAA
rnacentral:rRNA from 1 species